CGUCGACCGGCGCACGGGUGAGUAACGCGUAUCCAACCUGCCCACCACUUGGGGAUAACCUUGCGAAAGUAAGACUAAUACCCAAUGAUAUCUCUAGAAGACAUCUGAAAGAGAUUAAAGAUUUAUCGGUGAUGGAUGGGGAUGCGUCUGAUUAGCUUGUUGGCGGGGUAACGGCCCACCAAGGCAACGAUCAGUAGGGGUUCUGAGAGGAAGGUCCCCCACAUUGGAACUGAGACACGGUCCAA
rnacentral:rRNA from 1 species